rnacentral:rRNA from 1 species
UACGAAGGGGGCUAGCGUUGCUCGGAAUCACUGGGCGUAAAGGGCGCGUAGGCGGCCAUUCAAGUCAGAGGUGAAAGCCCAAGGCUCAACCUUGGAACUGCCUUUGAUACUGUUUGGCUUGAGACCGGUAGAGGUAAGUGGAACUGCGAGUGUGGAGGUGAAAUUCGUAGAUAUUCGCAAGAACACCAGUGGCGAAGGCGGCUUACUGGACCGGUUCUGACGCUGAGGCGCGAAAGCGUGGGGAGCAAACAGG